CCUACGGGAGGCAGCAGUGGGGAAUUUUGGACAAUGGGGGAAACCCUGAUCCAGCCAUGCCGCGUGCGGGAAGAAGGCCUUCGGGUUGUAAACCGCUUUUGGCAGGAACGAAACGGCGCGCGCGAAUAGCGCUCGCUAAUGACGGUACCUGCAGAAUAAGCACCGGCUAACUACGUGCCAGCAGCCGCGGUAAUACGUAGGGUGCAAGCGUUAAUCGGAAUUACUGGGCGUAAAGCGUACGCAGGCGGCUAUGCAAGACAGAUGUGAAAUCCCCGGGCUUAACCUGGGAACUGCAUUUGUGACUGCAAGGCUAGAGUACGGCAGAGGGGGGUAGAAUUCCACGUGUAGCAGUGAAAUGCGUAGAUAUGUGGAGGAAUACCGAUGGCGAAGGCAGCCCCCUGGGUCGAUACUGACGCUCAUGCACGAAAGCGUGGGGAGCAAACAGGAUUAGAUACCCUGGUAGUCCACGCCCUAAACGAUGUCAACUAGGUGUUGGGGGAGGAGACUUCCUUAGUACCGCAGCUAACGCGUGAAGUUGACCGCCUGGGGAGUACGGUCGCAAGAUUAAAACUCAAAGGAAUUGACGG
rnacentral:rRNA from 1 species